rnacentral:rRNA from 1 species
GUACACGCUGUGACUAGCAUAUCAAUAAGCGGAGGAAAAGAAACUAACAAGGAUUCCCCUAGUAACGGCGAGUGAAGCGGGAAGAGCUCAAAUUUGAAAUCUUAAAGGGUUUCCCUUUACGAAUUGUAGUUUCAAAGAAGUGUUUUCUGUUGAGGUUUUGGUAAAAGUUCUUUGGAAUAGGACAUCAUAGAGGGUGAGAAUCCCGUAUUUGACCUUUACUUUCAACUUUGUGAUACACUUUCAAAGAGUCGGAUUGUUUAGGGAAUGCAGUCCAAAAUGGGUGGUAAAUUUCAUCUAAAGCUAAAUAUUGGCGAGAGACCGAUAGCGAACAAGUACCGUGAGGGAAAGAUGAAAAGAACUCUGAAAAGAGAGUUAAACAGUACGUGAAAUUGUCAAAAGGGAAGCGUUUGACACCAGUGUUGUUUUUCUGAAAAUCAAUUAAAGAACUGUUUAUGCUAAGCUUGUUUAGACUUUAUCAGCUAACUGUUUAGUUUUGAGCUUUUCUUUAAUGCACUUUUCAGUUAACAAGUCAACAUCAAUUUCUUUUGCUGUAAAAAAGCUUGAGGAAGGUGGCUUGAGAUUCGUCUUAAGUGUUUAUAGCCUCUUGCCUAUGCAGUCGGAGAGAUUGAGGUCUGCAGCGUAGAUCCUUCGGGGCUAAAUGCAUUUGUGCUAAGUUAUAGCAUUUUAUAGACAACUUGUUGACUAUGAUUUGUCUUGUAGCUUACUCGCUUAUGUUAUUUUACCUACGCUUAGGAUGUUGAAGUCAUCGUAUCGCGC